rnacentral:rRNA from 1 species
UGACGGUACCUGACUAAGAAGCCCCGGCUAACUACGUGCCAGCAGCCGCGGUAAUACGUAGGGGGCAAGCGUUAUCCGGAUUUACUGGGUGUAAAGGGAGCGUAGACGGCGAUGCAAGUCUGAUGUGAAAGCCCGGGGCUCAACCCCGGCACUGCAUUGGAAACUGUGUUGCUAGAGUGCAGGAGAGGUAAGUGGAAUUCCUAGUGUAGCGGUGAAAUGCGUAGAUAUUAGGAGGAACACCAGUGGCGAAGGCGGCUUACUGGACUGUAACUGACGUUGAGGCUCGAAAGCGUGGGGAGCAAACAGGAUUAGAUACCCUG